GCAUGCUUGAGGGUGCACCGUGGGAUCAUCUAACUCUGUAGAUGCCAUGAAGUCCAAGUGCAGAUGAACAUAUUCCCAUAACCAAGGAGCCCAUGUAUUCCGGGUCCUGAUUGCAAAUAAAGGGGGUACCGGUGAGCUUCCUGAAGCACACAGAGGUGCCUGGACUGCCGUUCCCUUGACCCCAGACACACCACAGCUGGUUCAUGGGAAAGCUUCCUCCUACAGCACCUCGUGGAAAGUUGCAAGGAAAGCUGGAGUGACCAACUCUUUCCAAUGAUUCAUUCCAGUGGUAAUAGUAAGGGGACAAAACAAUUGAGGAUCCUGUGGAAUCUGGAGGUCUCACGUUCCCCACACACUAAACUUCCUUAUCGGAGAUGAUCCCAAGGAUCGGAUCUAAAUACCAUCUCCCUGCAGCCACUCUGGGCUGAUGCCAGCUGCGGGUGACUGAAGGACUGUGCUGUCCUCGGGGGUCAUGGGCUGGCCCCCCAGCUUGUUCUUCUCAUCUUCUUUCAGCUUCCAGUGCCCACCAACUGUCACAAGGGGAGUUGGUCCUCCAAGCUAGAGAGACAACAGCCUUGGAGACAUAAACUUGGCUUAACGUGGAACAUUCCUUCUCUGAUAGGGACACUCAACUCUGGAGUGCACUGAUACCUGGAAGCCUCACAGUGAAGCAGCAAGGACAUUCCUGAGACUGAGAAGCCCUCACUGCUGAGCACCUGUCAUGUGCAGUGAUGGGCCGGUGUGCUUCCAGCCUGCAGAAUGAGGGGACAGCUGGGAGACAGAGGCACAGAAAAAAUAACACAAAAAGACACAUUCUUGGAAAGUCCUGCAGAAACUUUGGAGGAAAUAUUGGGUUUUAUACUGUGGUUUACAAUUAUUUGCCCUGGACAAGAGCAGGAGCUGGUAUCAGGGAGGCUUAGAGACCCAGAGCUUGGGUCCUUUCUGUAUUCCCGGGUGAGAGUUAUUUGGUUUGUCACUGAUAUAUGCUUCAUUGUCAUAAACGACAUUUUUCAUCAUGAGCUUAUACAUUUUUAAACAUCAUCCUUAUGGUCAAAGAGACAUGCAUGUUAAAAAGUCAACAAAUAAUUGUCAUGGUAGAACCAUUUGUCUGCCUCCAAAUAAAAUUACUUGAGUAUAGUUAUAUGAUUUUCAUAUCACUUCCAUUUAUGGGAAAGAUCAGCUAUCUAUCUGAAUUAGGG
rnacentral:lncRNA from 1 species